rnacentral:tRNA from 1 species
GUUUCCGUAGCUCAGUAGGAUAGAGCGGUCGCCUCCUAAGCGACAGGCCGCGAGUUCGAGCCUCGCCGGGAACGCCA